GACGAACGCUGGCGGCGUGCCUAAUACAUGCAAGUCGAGCGGACUGAAUGGGAGCUUGCUCUUGUUCGGUCAGCGGCGGACGGGUGAGUAACACGUGGGCAACCUGCCCGCAAGACCGGGAUAACUCCGGGAAACCGGAGCUAAUACCGGAUAACACCGAAGACCGCAUGGUCUUUGGUUGAAAGGCGGCGCAAGCUGCCACUUGCGGAUGGGCCCGCGGCGCAUUAGCUAGUUGGUGAGGUAACGGCUCACCAAGGCGACGAUGCGUAGCCGGCCUGAGAGGGUGACCGGCCACACUGGGACUGGGACACGGCCCAGACUCCUACGGGAGGCAGCAGUAGGGAAUCUUCCGCAAUGGGCGAAAGCCUGACGGAGCGACGCCGCGUGAGCGAAGAAGGCCUUCGGGUCGUAAAGCUCUGUUGUGAGGGACGAAGGAGCGCCGUUUGAAGAAGGCGGCGCGGUGACGGUACCUCACGAGGAAGCCCCGGCUAACUACGUG
rnacentral:rRNA from 1 species